rnacentral:rRNA from 1 species
AGCAGCCGCGGUAACACCGGCGGCCCGAGUGGUGAUCGUGAUUAUUGGGUCUAAAGGGUCCGUAGCCGGUUUGGUCAGUCCUCCGGGAAAUCUGAUAGCUCAACUAUUAGGCUUUCGGGGGAUACUGCCAGACUUGGAACCGGGAGAGGUAAGAGGUACUACAGGGGUAGGAGUGAAAUCUUGUAAUCCCUGUGGGACCACCUGUGGCGAAGGCGUCUUACCAGAACGGGUUCGACGGUGAGGGACGAAAGCUGGGGGGCACGAACCGGAUUAGAUACCCGGGUAGUCCCAGCCGUAAACGAUGCUCGCUAGGUGUCAGGCAUGGCGCGACCGUGUCUGGUGCCGCAGGGAAGCCGUGAAGCGAGCCACCUGGGAAGUACGGCCGCAAGGCUGAAACUUAAAGGAAUUGGCGGGGGAGCACAACAACGGGUGGAGCCUGCGGUUUAAUUGGACUCAACGCCGGACAACUCACCGGGGGCGACAGCAAUAUGUAGGCCAAGCUGAAGACUUUGCCUGAAUCGCUGAGAGGAGUGGUGCAUGG